CGCGUAGGCGGCCGAUCAAGUCGGAGGUGAAAUCCCUCGGCUCAACUGAGGAAUUGCCUUCGAUACUGUUCGGCUUGAGUCCUGGAGAGGGUAGCGGAAUUCCCGGUGUAGCGGUGAAAUGCGUAGAGACCGGGAAGAACACCAAUGGCGAAGGCGGCUACCUGGACAGGUACUGACGCUGAAGCGCGAAAGCUAGGGGAGCAAACA
rnacentral:rRNA from 1 species